AGUGAGCGCUGGCGGUAGGCCUAACACAUGCAAGUCGAACGGCAGCACAGUAAGAGCUUGCUCUUACGGGUGGCGAGUGGCGGACGGGUGAGGAAUACAUCGGAAUCUACUUUUUCGUGGGGGAUAACGUAGGGAAACUUACGCUAAUACCGCAUACGACCUACGGGUGAAAGCAGGGGAUCUUCGGACCUUGCGCGAUUGAAUGAGCCGAUGUCGGAUUAGCUAGUUGGCGGGGUAAAGGCCCACCAAGGCGACGAUCCGUAGCUGGUCUGAGAGGAUGAUCAGCCACACUGGAACUGAGACACGGUCCAGACUCCUACGGGAGGCAGCAGUGGGGAAUAUUGGACAAUGGGCGCAAGCCUGAUCCAGCCAUGCCGCGUGGGUGAAGAAGGCCUUCGGGUUGUAAAGCCCUUUUGUUGGGAAAGAACAGCAGCAGGUGAAUACCCCGCUGUUCUGACGGUACCCAAAGAAUAAGCACCGGCUAACUUCGUG
rnacentral:rRNA from 1 species